ACCACUUCCAAAUGCUUGGGGGAACAUACAAGGGGAAAAGGUAUUAGCUUUGGGUUCCUCAGAAAAUAUGCUUAUUUUUCCAGAGUGGAGGAUGCCUGAGGGUGGGUGAGUGCCCUCUCAAAGGCAGUAAGAAGCAGCCUGCCAGGUGACUUAGAGAAGACAAGUGCCAGGAUUUCUUCCAGAGUAGGGGUCUUCCCACAUGUGAACAAACUCCCACAUUUCCCUAGGUCUCCCAUGAUCUCUUUUUCCUAAAUCAGCCAUGAUAAUAUGGGAAUAAAUUCACUUUUUCUAAGGCAGAAAUACUGCCAGACUUGUUAAUCUCAUGCAGAUGUGAUGUUACUUUUACUGUGUUGUAAUAUGGCUUCUUAAAAAAAAAACAAGUGGGAAGGAGGUGGGGGAAGAAGAGCCCACCACCAAAAAAAACAACAAAUAUUCGCCAACCCAUAUGGUCAGUAAUUGCUGUUUAAUAGUCCUCCUAUUACAAACCUAAGAGGCAGCAGUCUGAAUUACCAGUAGAGUAUUAAUAAACAGGAAUGAGUUAAUAGAGCAUAAAGACCUUCUCCUGGAACAGUGGGGGAGUUGAAUAUUCUUUUCUUCAGUCAGCUGUAAGUAAUUACUGCAUGGUGUGCUUCUGACUAUUACCAUAACAGAGCAAUUGGACGUGAAGAAUGGAUAAUAGUACGGACAUGGAGGUAUUUUUAGAAUAUCAGCAGUGAAGCAGGUAACUGGCCUACUCCAGAAGAAACCUUUAAAUAAGUUUAGAAGACUUUUUUUCUCCCCCCACCCCUUCUCCUUAUGACAUUUAGCCAGGGUAGAAUUUUAAAAAGAUCAAUCUAAUAAAUUAUUAAAAAUAACUUUACAAAGAGGAUGCCUGUGAUAUGUAAAUAAGAAGGCAAGAAGGGAGGAAGGAGAAGUCUAAAAAUGCCCAGGCGGACCGGGAGGCAUCAAGCCUACGUUACUGUAACUACAUAAUCACGGGUUCCUUUCUGCUCCUCAGAGACUGCAGCCCGGAUGCGAAUCUGCUUGACUGGCUCCCACUGGCUGCUCAGGGGCAUUGACUGAGCGGCGGCGCCU
rnacentral:lncRNA from 1 species